AAAAGAUGAAGGAACAAGAAAAAUGAUUUAUGAAACUAUAUGGUAUAAAAUUUUUAAGAACCCUUGGACGGCUCUAAUAGCACAAGAAAUCCAAAGGACCCAAAAUGUGACAUUCAACUAAUAUUACAACUCCUUCCUAAAAGUGAAAAUGAUCAUAGAAUAUUUAUCAAAAACUCAGAAGUUGUCUCACAAACCAAAACUACAUUAUCUUUGACAAAAUCUUGAAUAUAGUACUAGUCCAAAACAAGACAAAUAACUAUGUAGCAGCAACAUGUCACAGAAACGCACAUCGAAAACAAACAGCAGCUACAGAAUGUCACAAAACACAUGUCCAAAACAAGCAAUAGCAGCAGCAAAUAAACACAACUAGUCAAUUCCAAAACAAGCCAUAGCACCAGCAAACACAGUCAUAUCCAAAACAAGCAGUAGCCGCAACAAACAAACACAACAUGUC
rnacentral:lncRNA from 1 species